rnacentral:rRNA from 1 species
UACGGAGGAUGCAAGCGUUAUCCGGAAUGAUUGGGCGUAAAGCGUCCGCAGGUGGCUGUGUAAGUCUGCUGUUAAAGAGUCUAGCUCAACUAGAUACAAGCAGUGGAAACUACACGGCUAGAGUACGUUCGGGGCAGAGGGAAUUCCUGGUGUAGCGGUGAAAUGCGUAGAGAUCAGGAAGAACCCCGGUGGCGAAGUCGGCUCUCUGGGCCUUUCCUGACGCUGAGGCGCGAAAGCUAGGGGAGCAAACAGG